CACUGCUCAAUCAUGAGCUUGGUUCCCAUAUCAGUGCUUACGACACUUUUUGCCCUGAGAGGAGCCGGAGCCCAGUCGGUGACCCAGCCAGACGGCCACAUCACUGUCUCUGAAGGAGCCCAUCUGUUGCUGAGGUGCAACUACACAUCUUUUUCACCGUAUCUCUUCUGGUACGUGCAGUACCCCAAUCAAGGACUCCAGCUUCUCCUGAAGUACACGUCUGGAAACAGCCUUGUUUCAGGCACCAAAGAUUUUAAGGCUGAAUUUAGGAAGAGUGAGACCUCCUUCCACCUGGAGAAACCAUCAGCCCUUUGGAGCGACUCGGCCGAGUACUUCUGUGCUCUGGGUGACACAGUGCCUGGGACGGGAGCAGAAGCUGAACACAAACUUCUGGUGAAUGUGGGGCUUUCAGUGACUCAAGAGAUCAACCUGGGGCAUCUUCAGUAA